AUGGCGGAAUACCACGCCGCAGCAUGGGCAGUCGGCGGUUGCGCUAUAUACAUGAGUGACAAACCCGAAAACCAUGACUUCGAUCUGCUGAGGAAGCUUGUGUUUCCUAACGGAUCAAUCCUGCGAGCCAAACUGCCCGGGGGACAAACUGCACUACCGUUGUCGCAGAAAUUCCAUGCGAUGGAAGCUUCUAGAGCCUGCUGGUACUUCCUAGCUAGAAGCCCCACGAGCUCGACGUCCAGCCCUACAACCACCACCCCACGCACAAGUGCUUUGCUCUUGCUCAUGUCUAGCACCGUCUCCGGCGCGGUGGUGCUUCUUGAGGUGACCGGCGUGACGGCGGCGACCACAAGCUCUCCGGUGAGUCGGCUCCAUCUUCUAGCCCUAGCUCCCUAUUUUCUGCUCCUAUAG
rnacentral:rRNA from 1 species